rnacentral:tRNA from 1 species
GACCGUGUGGCCUAGUGGUUAUGGCGUGUGUCUUACAGGUGCUUUACAGCAUACACCAAUCACACAAGAUCGCAGGUUCGAACCCUGCUACGGUCA